ensembl:lncRNA
AAAAGGCUUUUGCAGAAACAGUCUGGCUUUUAGCUCUGUCCUGCUUCAAAGCAAGUGAAAGUCUCUACCUGGCCUUUGAAAAGCUGGGUGAAGAUUCCAGCACUGCCAGCCAUGAGCAGCCCAGAGGCAUCUGCAUAAAUUUGGGCCCACAGAUCUGACAUCCAGUGCAUUUCCCUCCUUAGUAUGUAAGGCUCCAGAGCAGAACAGGAGGUGUGCUCCUGCUGUUGAAGUGACCCCCAUUAGCUGGCCACCAACCUCCCUGGCCAGGCGUGCUGGGACACUGCUGCAGGGCAGCUCCCUCUGCAGCUGGGCAGAGGAGAACCUUUGUGACACCGCCUGUGUGGGUGACCCUGCAUCCACUGCUGCCACAGGAACAGGGUUGUUACAGGACAGGCUGGCUGGCCAGGACUGCCAGGGGACUGCCAGGAUGUUCACCAUCACAACUUGGAACAGCCCCAUGCUUCUGCUUGCAUCACCACCAUUCUUUGGGAGCAUCUCUCCUUUUGCUGGCUUCCUGCCUGCUCCAGCAUAGAGUUCAGGAUGUUGGUUUUCACCUCCAAAUUCCCUUCAAGCUGUUCCCAGCACUUCUGUGAAUUAUGUGGCUGCCAACAGAUUACUGCUCUACAUCAGCAAGUGUCAGUGAAGGGGUGCUGGCUCCUCAGGAAUCAUGCUCUGCACAGUCUGGCAGUAUGUCUUUUCUCAUUCUCUGCUUAAGCCUGUCUUUAUCUUCUUAUGAGCAGUCCCAGCUCUGAUUUUCAUGCACACUCCCGUGCCGUCAUCCUUCUCACACCACCACCCCAAUGGUGCUCACACACUCACCUCCAGGCAGCUAUCCCCUGCUCAACUCAGCUGCUUGGUGCCCAACCUGAUAAAGGACAUGACCCACUGAAAGCAGUGGAAAUAUUCCCUUGACUUCAGUGAACUUCAGAAUAAGCCGGUGGUAAUGCUGAUGGAGAGGGACCCCAGCAGCCCAGCUAAGGCCAGGGACAAAGAUCUCGUCACCUGAAGUGGGAAGCAGAGUGCACCUCAAGAGGUUGUCUGCUCUGCUCUUGUUUGCUGUGUAACCUUCACACCUGCUAUGUAUGAGCUGCUGUAACCACUUUUGAGAGGCAGAUCCAGCCUGUCCCCCAAGGUGCAGGUGUUUGUGUGCCUGUGGUUCAUCCUGUGCUGUGGAGCACAAAGAAGGGUUGGGGGAAGGAGCUGUCUCUCUGGAAAAAAUGUGCCUUUGCAUUUUUUCUGUAAUUUAGACAAUUGAUCCUAAAUGAUGAAACCCUGUUUUUUUACUGGGCAUGGUAUGUGAAUGCACAGCACCCAUGAAAGUGGCCUCAAGUCUAACUUGUAAAUAUUGUAAAUACUGUAGCUGCCACUUAUUUAACCAAGGGAUGAGCUAUUGUUUCACAGUACAAUGUUCAGAGUAUUUGGCAGAGCUGGGGAUUGGGUGACAUCGGUGCUGACUUUCAAAAUCAAACUGCCACCUUGUGGUAUGGUGUGGGAGAAGUCUGCAGGAAAUCGUACAGACAACAGGAAUACAAAUACAUAGUAAAAACUGGUCCCUUUUGUCCCCUCAUGUCUUACAGCAUUUUUGUAUUCUUCAAUAUGUUUUGACUAUUCUUCGGGCAAAUUAAUAAAAAAU